AGAUGGGAAUAUUGAGAGAGUGUGUGCGGGGUCAACGUGUUCCCUCACACUCUCCUGCUUGGGAUUCUGCCUGGACAGAGUGAAUUGGUGGCUCUGGGGAUGGGGAUGUGUGUGGCUGAGGAAGGAAGAGGCUGAGAAUUGUGCUAGAAACUUUAGUAUUUGCCAGCUAUUCCCGAUCCUGGAGUGGGCAAUGGUGGCAUCACCGUGGCAGACCCACCAGAAGAUGCAGCGGAGAGGGGAGUCGAGGAACCGAGGCAAGCCCGGACCCUCAGCCUGCCUCGGCAAUUGGCGUUUUAAUGCAAAACCACCAAUGGUGAAUUGUUUUAAAAGCGUUUCACCACCUUCCCUGAUCUUCAGCCUCCCGCAAAAAGUUGUCAAUAAUUUUAAACCUGCAGAUCUCGACAAGACUUUGCUUCCCAGAGGACCGACUAGCUUUUUGAAAUAUAUAGAUUUUUUUUCUGUUUUGCUUUUUGGUAAACGACUUUUAAGUUCCAGUCAGUACUUUCACUUCUUGCUUUAGGAUCCCAGAAGCUAAGGUGUUACUUCACUCAGCUUCAUAAAAUAAAAUAAAGAAAUGAAACUAACUAAGCAGACAAAACAGCAAACUUUCUGUUUGGGGAAACACAUCCUUUGCCGGCGAGCCCUGCCCGGGGCUGGAGCUCCAGCGGUGCCCGGCCGGGCUGGCUCUUGCAGGCUCAGGGCGUGUAAAGCAUUAACAGGAGGACGAAGUCCAUUCCUAGCACUAAAACUUUUGCUGCUGCGUUGUAAAAGGUACCUCCCGUACCUGGCUGACAGUUUUGGCCAGAAAUGGUGAGAAGAAAAAGCAUGAAGAAGCCGCGAAGUGGAGGAGAAAAGGUGAAGGGAGAUGCAGCUCCUGAAGAAAUUGUAAAAAGCCUUGCAAAGAGUUGUCGGAAGGACCGUUAUUCCUGCUGGGCAGGAGCGAGAGGAGAGACCCUGAAACACACGCCACCUAUCUUUGUGGGGAGGGAUAAUUGAAGAGCACCAAACAUACGGAUCAGGGGUGAGAUGGGCUCUUCCUGGCGCUGCUCUCCCUUGGAAGUAGCUGGAUGGGCAGAGAGACAGCGCGGAGCAGUAACGCGUGGGACUGAACUUCAGGGAGGUUACAAGUUUUUCACCUUUUUCAAGUAUUAAAAUUAAAAUAAAAUUACAUAUAGAAAAAAAAAAGGAAAGGGAAAAAAAAAAAAAGAAACCCAGACUCCACCUUUGCACUGAAGGGAUUGGUUAUGCAAAUAUGGAAGGGGUUUCCUGGCAAAUACAGCUUUCUACUGUAUGGUUAAUUAAAUCAUCACUCAAAAGCCUUCCAAUGUGACGCUUCUGUCGUAAUCCAAUCAGGUUACGUAGGUCCUAAACAAGAAAGAUAUUUUCCACAUCUGGAAGUCAGCAAUUUAGCAAGUACUGCACAUUAUUAACCAAUUCAGAGCCCACUUCCCAGGGGGAUUUUUUUUUUUUUUGAAGUUUAAGUGUUCUUAACCAAUGCUCUGCUGUUUUGUUAAUCAAAAAGCUGGUUUACACAGCACGUAACUGAGAACUAAUAUCGAAGUAAGUCAAGGCAGCCCGAGCAGGGGAUGCUGAGCGAAGGCGUUUAUCUGCGAAGGGGGUUGAGAUGGCUAAGCCUCCAUCCGCUCGUGCCCAACUCCCAGCACAGCCCACAGCCCUUCUCUUCCUCGAAAAGAUCUCGAAAUAAUUUCAAUGCAAAGGCAAAACUUCACAUCUCGCCUGCUCCUCCGCUCCCUUCUGAAGAAAACCGAACGGAACGCUCCGCUGAUCCCACACCACACUUUUACUUCCAUGCAGCGAUAAACUGCGCCUGAACUGCGCGGUGACUGUGCGCCUCACGCAAGGGCUGGGAGGCGAGCAGCGGGCACUGACGGCUGCGCUCCAAACUGGUCCCGCUCAGCGACCACCAUCCUGGUGACUGGGCAACGCCAAGGAGGGCAGGGGACCCCCCCUCUCCCCCCCUCCCCCCCCGCAAUGUGUCCUCGCA